UAUAUAUGUAUAUGGGUCGUUUUCAAAAAAUGUCGAAUUUUCAGUACACCCAUGCUAACUUUUUUAUUUCUAAUGGAAAUUUCAGUUGUAAUGGUUUAAAUGAAAGCUUGUCGGAUUUGUGAUUCAGAACAUUAAUAAUAAACACACCUUACAUCUAUUUUGAUAAGAUUAAACUGCAUUUAAGACCCAUUUUGGGGGUAUUUGUCUGCGUACAGUGUCAGAAAAACACAUUUCAAAUGAUUUUUUUGCGAUUUUCCGAUCGCCUUGAUAUCUGCAAAAGGGACUUUUUAAGAACGUUUAAUAUUACUCUAACGAAAAAUCGUAGCUUCUAUAUCAUUGUAUGUAACACAUUAUCUACAAACUAAAUUGAAUCUGCGUACAGGAGGUUCAUGUCUUUCC
rnacentral:lncRNA from 1 species